rnacentral:rRNA from 1 species
GCGGUAAUANGUAGGGGGCAAGCGUUAUCCGAAUUUAAUGGGUGUAAAGGGAGCGUAGACGGCACGGCAAGCCAGAUGUGAAAGCCNGGGGCUCAACCCCGGGANUGCAUUUGGAANUACUNAGCUAGAGUGUCGGAGAGGCAAGUGGAAUUCCUAGUGUAGCGGUGAAAUGCGUAGAUAUUAGGAGGAACACCAGUGGCAAAGGCGGCUUGNUGGACAAUGACUGACGUUNAGGCUCNAAAGCGUGGGGAGCAAACNGGAUUAGAUACCCUGGUAGUCCACGCCGUAAAC